GCGGAGGAAAAGAAACCAACAGGGAUUGCCUCAGUAACGGCGAGUGAAGCGGCAACAGCUCAAAUUUGAAAUCUGGUCUCGUUUCGGGGCCCGAGUUGUAAUUUGUAGAGGAUGUUUCGGGCACCGCCGCGGUUUAAAUUUCUUGGAACAGAAUGUCAGAGAGGGUGAGAAUCCCGUCUUGGACCGCGGUAGGGCCCUUGUGAAACUCCUUCGACGAGUCGAGUUGUUUGGGAAUGCAGCUCAAAAUGGGUGGUAAAUUUCAUCUAAAGCUAAAUAUUGGCCAGAGACCGAUAGCGCACAAGUAGAGUGAUCGAAAGAUGAAAAGAACUUUGAAAAGAGAGUUAAACAGUAUGUGAAAUUGUUGAAAGGGAAGCGCUUGCAACCAGACUUGAGCGCGGCGGUUCCCCCUUCCUUCUGGUUGGGUUACUCCGCCGUGUCCAGGCCAACAUCGGUUCUGGGGGUCGGUCAAAGGCCCGGGGAAUGUACCUACUCCUUCGGGGGUAGACUUAUAGCCCCGGGUGUCAUGCGACCUCCCGGGACCGAGGAACGCGCUUCGGCUCGGAUGUUGGCGUAAUGGUUGUCAGCGACCCGUCUUGAAACACGGACCAAGGAGUCUAACAUCUAUGCGAGUGUUUGGGUGUCAAACCCGGAACGCGGAAUGAAAGUGAACGGAGGUAGGAAGCCUGUACGGGCUGCACUAUCGACCGAUCCUGAUGUCUUCGGAUGGAUUUGAGUAAGAGCAUAGCUGUUGGGACCCGAAAGAUGGUGAACUAUGCCUGAAUAGGGUGAAGCCAGAGGAAACUCUGGUGGAGGCUCGCAGCGGUUCUGACGUGCAAAUCGAUCGUCAAAUUUGGGUAUAGGGGCGAAAGACUAAUCGAACC
rnacentral:rRNA from 1 species